rnacentral:rRNA from 2 species
UCGGACCGAGACCCCAG